rnacentral:rRNA from 1 species
CUACGGGGGGCUCCAGUGGGGAAUAUUGGGCAAUGGGCGCAAGCCUGACCCAGCAACGCCGCGUGAGGGAAGAAGGUUUUCGGAUUGUAAACCUCUGUCCUUGGGGACGAAGAAGUGACGGUACCCAAGGAGGAAGCUCCGGCUAACUACGUGCCAGCAGCCGCGGUAAUACGUAGGGAGCAAGCGUUGUCCGGAAUUACUGGGCGUAAAGGGUGCGUAGGCGGCAUAUUAAGUCAGGUGUGAAAUACUCGGGCUCAACCCGGGGGCUGCAUUUGAAACUGAUAUGCUUGAGUGUGAGAGAGGAAAGUGGAACUCCUAGUGUAGCGGUGGAAUGCGUAGAUAUUAGGAGGAACACCAGUGGCGAAGGCGACUUUCUGGCUCAUAACUGACGCUGAGGCACGAAAGCGUGGGGAGCAAACAGGAUUAGAUACCCGGGUAGUC